UACGUAGGGGGCAAGCGUUGUCCGGAUUUAUUGGGCGUAAAGAGCGUGUAGGCGGCCUGACAAGUCUGCUGUGAAAACUCGAGGCUCAACCUCGAGAUGUCGGCGGAAACUGUCUGGCUAGAGUCCGGAAGAGGAGAGUGGAAUUCCUGGUGUAGCGGUGAAAUGCGCAGAUAUCAGGAGGAACACCGGUGGCGAAGGCGGGUCUCGUGGGCCGA
rnacentral:rRNA from 1 species